rnacentral:rRNA from 1 species
UACGGGAGGCAGCAGGGGGAAUAUUGCACAAUGGGCGCAAGCCUGAUGCAGCCAUGCCGCGUGUAUGAAGAAGGCCUUCGGGUUGUAAAGUACUUUCAGUCGUGAGGAAGGUGUUAAGGUUAAUAACCUUAGCAAUUGACGUUAGCGACAGAAGAAGCACCGGCUAACUCCGUGCCAGCAGCCGCGGUAAUACGGAGGGUGCGAGCGUUAAUCGGAAUUACUGGGCGUAAAGGGCACGCAGGCGGUUAAUUAAGUUGGAUGUGAAAUCCCCGGGCUUAACCUGGGAAUGGCAUUCAAGACUGGUUAGCUAGAGUCUUGUAGAGGGGGUGAAUUCCAUGUGUAGCGGUGAAAUGCGUAGAGAUGUGGAGGAAUACCGGUGGCGAAGGCGGCCCCUGGACAAAGACUGACGCUCAUGUGCGAAAGCGUGGGGAGCAAACAGGGAUUAGAUACC